rnacentral:rRNA from 1 species
GAUGAACGCUGGCGGCGUGCCUAAUACAUGCAAGUCGAGCGAACAGACGAGGAGCUUGCUCCUCUGACGUUAGCGGCGGACGGGUGAGUCACACGUGGAUAACCUACCUAUAAGACUGGGAUAACUUCGGGAAACCGGAGCUAAUACCGGAUAAUAUAUUGAACCGCAUGGUUCAAUAGUGAAAGACGGUUUUGCUGUCACUUAUAGAUGGAUCCGCGCCGCAUUAGCUAGUUGGUAAGGUAACGGCUUUCCAAGGCAACGAUGCGUAGCCGACCUGAGAGGGUGAUCGGCCACACGGGAACUGAGACACGGUCAAGACUCCUACGGGAGGCAGCAGUAGGGAAUCUUCCGCAAUGGGCGAAAGCCUGACGGAGCAACGCCGCGUGAGUGAUGAAGGUCUUCGGAUCGUAAAACUCUGUUAUUAGGGAAGAACAAAUGUGUAAGUAACUAUGCACGUCUUGACGGUACCGAAUCAGAAAGCCACGGCUAACUACGUG